rnacentral:miRNA from 1 species
UAUUGGGUUGGCCAAAAUGUUUGUUAGGGUUUUUCCAUAACAUCUUACAAAAAAACCCAAGUGAACUUUUUGGCCAAUCCAAU